UCAGAAGCAUUCGAAAAUUGUAAAAAUAACUUCCAGAGAUUCGAAUCUAAACGAGAAUUUUGCCCAUCUCUGCUCAGAAGGAAUCUCUUGUACGUGUACGCGGUGGUGGAUUCGACCGAUCGAGUAAGAAGUUCGCAAAGUUUGGUGCACGAGGAUGACAAUGAACAGAACGAUCCAAGGUGCCAAAACGCAAGCAUUCAAGAGACGAGCCACGUUAAAGGGGGAAGCCAGUGAUUCGCAUAAAUGUGUUCCUGGAUGAGCGUGCAUUUGUCUCCGAUUAAUUGGCAACAAAGUCCAUGAAAACGUAGAGAAGUCCAUCUGGAUAUUUGCCGGUAAAUUCGAUAGAACCAAUGAGUUCUUCCUUCGUAUGAUUCAGCCUAUGCAUGGUAGAUGAUGCAUACUACUACCCCCUUCCAAAACAUUUGUUAUCUAGAUAAACACGAGUGCCGCUAGAUUUUUAUACGAGAAUUUAAUAAACGAAUUUUUCGUAGA